GAAUUUAAAACAUUGAGUAAAACCAAACCAAUUAACCAAUAAAAAAAAAAAUCAUAAACUAAGUAGACAGGCAUGACAAGCCUGGAAGACAAAUUGGAUCUAGAUUAAUUUUUAACAGAAACUGAGGGAAGCGACAUUCCGAGAAGAGCCAAGAAGGCCACAAACAAUGCCAGGAAAAUGAAUAAAAUGACUGAGUUACAAGGGCGUGUGUGAAGAGCAAGGGCGUGCCUCAGGAGACAAGUGGGAAGAAUUCGUCGGUUGGGUUCAUUUUUGUCUGGGCUGAGCGUCUCGGCACCACAGCUGUGCCUGCACAGCGUGACAGCGUGGGAGUCCUCGUCUUUGGAUGAAGUUAGCCGUGAGGCAGGCCCACGCCCACGCCAGGAUGGCCAACACGCGACCUCCAGUAGGCACUGGUCGCGUUGGGCUCUGAGAAGAUCGGCAGGCACUCAAGAGCAAAGAUGGAGGGAACUCAGCACACUCAGUGGGCGCACCUGCGCCUGGCAGCGAAGGGGAGAAGCUAGCGUGCCCGCUGGAGCCCUGAGGGCCAGAGCAUGCUGGACCUUGUGUAACCGAUUUUUCCACUGCCACGGUACCGAGUUCAUGUGAAUGGAAUGCUGUCCCACAGGAUGUCCCCCUCCAUCGCCAUCUCCCUAACUAUGUGCCUCGACCUGUCUUGACACUCGGCAAAAACAGGCCCUUGUAAAAAUGUCAUUGAAACAAUCCUCUAUUUAGUUUUAGCAGUGGACUUCUAAUUUAUGUCUUAGUCAAAGUAAAUUUAUAAAACGCAAUUUCAUUUGAUGGUCAUUAAGAAGCCUGAGCCAAGAUAAAUAUUAUCAGGGUUUUGGGUUCCUUUGCUUGCACCUGUCCCAUCCACUCCCACCACUUUUUCUAAUCUGUUGCCAUUCUAGAAAGCUUCGGCCUACCUGCAUGCUGGCACUGGACAUUUUCCUGCAAGACUCUCCUCUAAGGUCCCUGUUUCCCAGGCUUUGGAACUGUUUUGUAUUGCUGGUCAAAAGCCAUAACUAUGUCUGUGUGCUUUUCUCUUUGCCAAAUAUGAAAUUCUAAUGGGAUUAUCCAGUUAAUCAGGUACAUGCCUGUGAAUUACUCUUGAAUUUCAAGACCCAAACAACUUUUCCUCUGAGGCCAAAUUGCAUGAUAGCUUUUCAGCAUCUCAUGAAGCAGACAGGGUGAGGCAAGGGGCAUGGUCAGGUCAUUUAAUUUAGUUUGUUGUUUUUGACACUAGAUAUUUUUCUGACUUUUCUUUCUUCUUCCUUAUUUCUCCCUUUCAGUGAUCAUGUGCUAGGUACCUCCAGCUUAUAUUUAAAGAGCUGUGUUGGAAUCAGUGACAAUCGGGGAAGGACAAGUAGAUUCGCAUGUCUUUAGCAAACAGAUGACAGUUGAAUCCAAAAUCAUACAAUACACAACCGAGCACAGAGUUGGUCAUCUACCUUGCCAGAGAGUAGGUCUGAGGUAGAGCUUCUAUAGUGGACACUGCUGGAACUCUUCUCAGAUCCCCUACCAUCGUUUCUCACGUUUCUGUGCAUCCUCCCCAGCUUCUGUGUGUUUUUCUUUUACUGACCACAUAUGACACCCCCCUCUGAUACUUCUCUAGCUACUAGGGCAGUUUUUCCUGCAAAGAGAGAAAGCUAAAAAGUCCUGGGAAGUUGACUUCCCCCACCACCAUUAGCCAAUGACUGACCAGGGCAGGAGUGUGACAGUCCAGCUCUCUCUGUACCCACACCCCGGAGUUCUAUGGGAUCAGAACAAAGAUGCUCUCUAGGGGACACUGCCUGAAUCUGCACCCUCGCUUGACUCCCACCCUUCCCUGUAUCCUAUUUUCCUCAAUCCCUUAAUGAGAUCUGAGAGAUCCAACCUAAGAUAGUCUCUAACAUGCGUAGUUGUCUGGGCAACCAGAAAUGGAGAAAUCAAGCACAGACAGUUUUGCCAUAGAGGGCAACGUCCAAAAGGAUGUUGAUGGUAGUUCGCUAUGUGCAAAGCUAUACUGGGGUUCAAAGGUUUGAAGUGGUAUUUAAGCUAUACACAGUUGUGCAGUGAGUAGGUCACCGGAAACACUUGAAGUGUGGUUUUCAUGGAUUAGGACAAACGUAUCCUGGAAUAUAGAAAGAUCUGGAGUAAAUUAGCCAUUAGAAAUUCAUAGCUUACAAUUAAGAAAGCACAGACUAAUUUCUGGGGGAAUGUAUUCCAUUCCUACAUUAGGUCUUAUAUUUUAGUCAAAAAUAUGCAUUGAAUAUCUGCAGUAUAUAAAAGGACUUGACUAGGAACUAGCAACUGUUUGUAGUUAGCGAAUCAGACAGUGCUUAGAGUUUAGCGGGAGAGACACAUUAAAACCUAAUCACAUGUACGAAAAUGUGUAAGUUUCGCUUGUGGUACGUGUCUUAAAUGCUUGCAAAAAUCUAGGAGAGCAUAGAACAAGAAUCCAGACUCAUGCCGAGGGGUUGUGGGUUAGCAUCCCUGAUGUAGGAGAAUAUAAGCUGAAUCUUAAGUGUCAGAAAAGUGAAUUGGACAAUGGGGGUGAAAGAUAGCAUUUUAAACAUCACAUGCAAAGCCCCUGAGGCAGUAGGAAAACAUUCUCCAAUUUUAGAAAGAUAACUAGUUUUUACUAACCAUCAGGAAAAUAUCCCCAAAGGACUCAACUCUUAGUGCUCUUUAAGAAUUCCAAAUUCUUUGAUUAGAAACUUUCCUAAAAUACACAACAAAAAAAAACCCCAAUCAGUUUAUCUUGGGUAAUUCAGACAUUAGGCUUGUGCAGUUCAGCCAUUUAGGCAAAUAACCACGAACACAUGCUGUUUCAUUUCAGCUCGAACUAAUUUUGCACUGCGGUUAGUGACUCCAUUCAAGGGAGCAGAAAGCCACCUCACCUUGAGCCACUGAGAAAAGUGAUCUCAGAGACUCUCUGAAGUUCUAGGUUGGCCUUUCAGCUCUGAGACCUGAGGGGCUGGAAGAACACCACUCUUAGCGUGGGGCACAGUGAGGAUGUGAAGAAAGAAGAUGAUUCUUCUGGUUAAUGAAGAUCGAAUGGUACUUCAUUGUCUCAGUUGUGGUCUGCUUGCCAUUUCAGAGGGAAAAGGAUAAAUAUGUGUUGAGGUAACUGAGAAGAUACGGAGCCAGUAGUUCCUUUAGAAAGACUAAAAUGAGAGUGGCAUUUAAGAAGCAGAAAGCCCAGACUGCCAACGCCGAAGAAAGACACGUUCCUGGACUGGGUAAAAACUUCUAAAGAGCAGUGAUGAAAUCCCCAUGAGUUAAAAGAGCUAUGACUUGACUAGCCUAAAAAUUAAUGGCAAAUUUCCCUCUAGAUUUUUCUCCACUGAAAGACUCGUUUGUUGUAAUGAAAUUUCUUAUUCCCCAUUUCAGUUUUAAUAAAUAAACUUUCCCUCACUGGA